rnacentral:rRNA from 1 species
GAUCCUGGCUCAGGAUGAACGCUGGCGGCGUGCUUAACACAUGCAAGUCGAACGGAGUUUUUAAACGGAAGUUUUCGGAUGGAAGUUUAGAAACUUAGUGGCGGACGGGUGAGUAACGCGUGGGUAACCUGCCUCAUACAGGGGGAUAACAGUUAGAAAUGACUGCUAACACCGCAUAAUAUAGCGAAACCGCAUGAUUUUUGCUAUCAAAUAUUUAUAGGUAUGAGAUGGGCCCGCGUCUGAUUAGCUAGUUGGUGGGGUAAAAGCCUACCAAGGCGACGAUCAGUAGCCGGCUUGAGAGAGUGACCGGCCACAUUGGGACUGAGACACGGCCCAAACUCCUACGGGAGGCAGCAGUGGGGAAUAUUGGACAAUGGGGGAAACCCUGAUCCAGCGACGCCCGCGUGAGUGAAGAAGUAUUUCGGUAUGUAAAGCUCUAUCAGCAGGGAAGAUAAUGACAGUACCUGACUAAGAAGCCCCGGCUAACUACGUGCCAGCAGCAGC